rnacentral:rRNA from 1 species
UACGGAGGGUGCGAGCGUUGUCCGGAAUCAUUGGGCGUAAAGGGCGCGUAGGUGGCCCGGUCAGUUCGUGGUGAAAGCGCGGGGCUCAACCCUGCGUCGGCCAUGAAUACUGCCGCGGCUGGAGCACUGUAGAGGCAGGCGGAAUUCCUGGUGUAGCGGUGAAAUGCGCAGAUAUCAGGAGGAACACCGGUGGCGAAGGCGGUUCUCUGGGCAUUCCCUGACGCUGAGGAGCGAAAGUGUGGGGAGCGAACAGG